GUUUGAGUUAAAAUACGAAACUAAGCCGAGCAGAUUAACCAGGUAAAUUAACCAGGCGCUAGGUAGAAGUUCACAUGGGUUCCGAUAUCACGCUAAAUACGGGAUUCGCUGAUACAUGAGCAGUCCUGCGCAACAGGAAGUGAAUAAUUGUAUCAUUAUUGGCUAAUGCGAGCGCAGGGCUGCGCUCAAGUUUUGCCGUUUCGCGUUACUUUCAUAACGAGCCCGGAAUUUUUCAAAAUAAGCGAGUACUUAACAGAUAAUUGAGAAGUACUCUGGAUAUAGUGAACACUUUCCCAUUUAAAAAUGUACUUUCCCAUUUAAAUGUGUACUUUUGCGAGAGCGUUGUUUUCACGUCCUCAAACCGCGGGUCAACCAAUCAGAGACCGUCACUUCAAUAGCCUUAAUUCAACGCGUCUGGAAAACGCAAGUCAGCCAAUGAAAUGAUCUUGAAAUUUGAGCCUUCGUGAUUCCGCGUUCUUCCACGCGACCUGACCAAUCACACUGAAUCAUUCUUAUCCCACAAAAAGGGCAAUACAAAUAGCCUUCUGUCAACAGAUGCAGAUUGCCGGUGAUAACGAUAAUUAACGCGGACUAGGGGUCAGAAGAGAUCAAA